rnacentral:lncRNA from 1 species
CUACUGAGCACCUUGUGACCCCCACACCUGCCCGCCAGAGAACAACCCCCCUUUGACUGUAAUUUUCCUUUACCUACCCAAAUCCUAUAAAAUGGCCCCACCCCAUCUCCCUUUGCUGACUCUCUUUUUGGAUUUAGCCAGCCUGCACCCAGGUGAUUGAAAGCCUUAUUGCUCACACAAAGCCUGUUUGGUGGUCUCUUCACAUCGACGCUCAUGAAAUUUGGUGCCAAAACCGGGGAUUGGGGGACCUCCCUUAGGAGAUCAAUCCCUUAUCCUUCCUCCUGCUCUUUGCUCCAUGAGAAAGAUCCACCUAUGACCUCUGGUCCUCAGACCCACCAGCCCAAGGAACAUCUCACCAAUUUCAAAUCCGAUCUUCUCGGCUUAGCAGCUGAAGACUGACACUGGCCGAUUGCCUCCGAAACCUACAGGACCAUCACAGAUGCUCUGGGUAACUCUCACAGUGGAAGACAGGAAUGUCAGGCCUCUGAGCCCAAGCUAAGCCAUCAUAUCCCCUGUGACCUGCACGUACACAUCCAGAUGGCCGGUUCCUGCCUUAACUGAUGACAUUCCACCACAAAAGAAGUGAAAAUGGCCUGUUCCUGCCUUAACUGAUGACUUUGUCUUGUGAAAUUCCUUCUCCUGGAUCAUCCUGGCUCAAAAGCUCCCCUACUGAGCACCUUGUGACCCCCACACCUGCCCGCCAGAGAACAACCCCCCUUUGACUGUAAUUUUCCUUUACCUACCCAAAUCCUAUAAAAUGGCCCCACCCCUUUCUCCCUUCACUGACUCUCUUUUUGGAUUCAGCCACCCUGCACCCAGUCCUGAGGAAGAUUGACAUUUGCCACACCUGCAUAAAGAACCCACUUGGUGAAAACCCAAGUUUUCUUGGAGUCUGCUGCUGUGAGACACGAGGAAAAAACAGUACAUGUGUACACGGUAGAUCUGGAAGGGAAAGCAGAAAGUAUCCAACACUUCUUGCAUGAAGAAAACAAAAUGUAAGUUUUUCAGUUUAUGACCAUGUGUUUACUUACUGCUUCCUAAUUUCAAC